AGAGUUUGAUUAUGGCUCAGGAUGAACGCUAGCUACAGGCUUAACACAUGCAAGUCGAGGGGCAGCAUUAUCGAAGCUUGCUUUGAUAGAUGGCGACCGGCGCACGGGUGAGUAACGCGUAUCCAACCUUCCCUAUAGUAGAGAAUAGCCCGGCGAAAGUCGGAUUAAUGCUCUAUGUUGUAUUUUAGAAGACAUCUGAAGAAUACCAAAGGUUUACCGCUAUAGGAUGGGGAUGCGUCUGAUUAGGUAGUAGGCGGGGUAACGGCCCACCUAGCCGACGAUCAGUAGGGGUUCUGAGAGGAAGGUCCCCCACAUUGGAACUGAGACACGGUCCAAACUCCUACGGGAGGCAGCAGUGAGGAAUAUUGGUCAAUGGACGGAAGUCUGAACCAGCCAAAGUAGCGUGCAGGAUGACGGCCCUAUGGGUUGUAAACUGCUUUUAUAUAGGGAUAAAGUCGGGGACGUGUCCCCGUUUGUAGGUACUAUAUGAAUAAGGACCGGCUAAUUCCGUGCCAGCCGCGGC
rnacentral:rRNA from 1 species